rnacentral:tRNA from 1 species
GUGAGCGUAGCUCAAUAGGUAGAGCAUAGGAUUGUGAUUCCUGUGGUCGUGGGUUCGAUUCCCAUCGCUCACCCCA